CCAUCUGAACAAGGCCUGAGUGCGGCUGUUCGGUAAUGUCUGCCCAUGGCUUGGCAGGCUCUGCAUUCCUUCUGGGGGUGAAGCUUUUGACAGGAAGAAUAAAUGUGAGGCAAAGUCUUUCCUUCGUGUUGAAGGACCAGUGCCAAAGGGAGUGGAGCAUUUUCACAGAAGUAAAUAGAAGUUGAUGGAGGCAUGCCCCAACCAAUGUAUUGUGAACUCCUGUUUCAUGACCUAGUUAUAUAAAGAGAAAUCCUAACUUGUGUUCGAAAAGAAUGAUUC